AUUUCUACAAAUAAAUAAUUAAAUUCAAAGAAAUGUUAGAUUCGAGUACAUAUUUAUUCAUAUGAUUUUAAUAAAUAAAUUAAUGUAGAUAGUACAAAUGUAUGUCUUUGUCUAUGCGUAAAUGCGCUUACGUAUACACAAACACAUAGAUGAAUAAUAGAACAUAAGAGUAAGUGAGAAAGCAUGUUGCACUCUGAUCCAAGUACAGGGACUCAUGCAACAUUUUUAGACAAAUUUAAGAGAGAGGGUAAGGGCCCAAGAAAAUAGACACAUAAUUGGACAUUUGUUUCCCCCAAUGAGUGGAAAUUAGUAACGCCCUAAAAUUCGACACCUUGCAAUUGUCACCAAAAAAUCUCUCUCGUUGUCCUGACGUCCUAGUGUUAACAUCGUACAUAGUUUAAAUAAGUCUCAAUAGACCACGUGUAAAUCUUUUGUAUAGAAAGUAAAUCAUUUGUAAAGGUAAAGUAAAAUCGUAAAGUGAAACCAACUAAAUCAAAUUAAAUCAACAAGGUUCAUCAAUUUUUAUCAGUUGAUAGCUACAAUAUAUU